CACAGAGACAUAUACAUAUAUAUAUAUAUAUAUAUAUAUACACACACACACAAAUAUGUUCUUUUACGUCUCUAUCUUCCACUUAAAUUUUUGCUACCAAUACUUCCUUUUAAUUUUUUUUCUUUUAGAGGAAGGUUUGCCAAACACUAAAUGGUCUGAGGGCAGAAAAGCACAUAAUGUGUUUCAGCCUGGCUCAGUAGAACUAAAACUGCAGUAAAAAUUCCUUCCUAAUUCCUGAACGGCCUCUAAAAAAAUCUUCAAGCAAGUUCUGCUUUCCAGCAUGAGCAUUGCAGCAUCCAUGCUCAGAACAGCAGUUUCAGGUAAAUGAUGGGACCACAUCCCCAGCCUCUGCAGCCACAUAAUGUGCCUUGGAGCCACAGCAGGUGCCUUCCUUCAUACAUGGAACUAGACACAAUCCUGGCUGCCUUAACCACUGCCUUUGAGAGAGCUACAGCUGAGAAAAUCCGCUGCCAGGAAGAAGUGAAUAGAACUAACAAGGCUAUUGAGCUGGCCAACAGAUUAGUGAAAGGUCUGAGGUGAGGUCCUACAGGGCAGGCUAAUGAAGCAGCCUACAGAAAGCACUUCUUUGUUAUACACUACUGAUCUGGCAAUAACAGAGGCACUUAGCAAAGAACCUGAUGAGCUGAAAAAAUUAUGUCAUUAUCAUUCAUUUUUUUCAUAAUAGAAACAUGGUUUUGACCUUUGCAUUUUCUUACAUUUUUGCUUCAUUGUGGUAUAUCUUAACUGUAAGAUUACCUGGUAACUAACCUAUCCACGAACAUUAAGGGAAGUAGUCGAUUGUGGAUAUUGACAAUGAAGGCAAUUUAUUAAAAUUCAAUGAGUAUAUUUGUAACAAUUAAACAACACUAAUGAUUCUGCCCAGGAUUGGGAUACACGGAAUCUAAUAUGAUUUGCACUACUUAGUUAAGCAAUAUGAUAAUUCUCUAAUUAUCUUUCUGAGACUUGCAAUGGGUAUUUCAUGAGAGAAUAAAUAAUGGCAAAGCCAUGAAUUAUCAAAAAUCCAUAUUGUCUGUUGAUCCAGGCUGACUCAAGGGAAUCCAUAGUCACUGAUGGAUUUUUUCAUUUAUCACUUCAUCUACUGAUGAGACUGCUUUUCAUACACACACACACACACAUACACACACACAAACACACAUAUACACUUUUUACAGAUACUUUAUUUUAUUGCAACAUUCAUUUACUAAAUCUCUCAUGGUGGCUCACUGCCAUUAUAGGUUUUCUCCUCUUCUACCCAAUACUUUCAAGCUGAGUUUGAUAACCAAACACAUAGUAAACAACAAAAAUAGAAGAUCCAUUUUUUAUUGAGCAAAAUUAUAUGUCUGAGUGUGGCUAGUGGAACUUAAAAUAUAAAACAGGGUUUCAGAGUUAUUUCCUGAAUCAAUAGAAAGAAUUUAUUGACUAAAGGGGAGGGAGGGCAGUGCAGAAGACCCAUUGUUUCUGUUUAAAGAAGCAAGAUGAAUGCAUUAAAAAUGUUAACAUCCUGGCUGAAAGUGUAAUGUAUUUUAGUGAUUAAUAAUGCCUGUAAAACUAAACCAUGUACCUAAUACAGAAUAAUAAAAUAAAUAACAUAGCAGACCUCUUUAAAGUGUGACAAUAAAUGAUUGUUCUAAUAUUUUCUUCCACCUAACAUAUCAUAUUGUUUGGUUCUCCCAUGUGCCUCCUGCUGGGCCUGACAAGUGCUGGAAUAGCAUACGUAGAGAGAUGAAAGGCGAAGUGUGGGUAUGCUGGGGGGGGAGGCAUAAUGAAAAAUAAUCUAAAGGAGGAAACAGAGAUGAAAGGAAAGAAGGAAAGUUGAGACAUGCGCUAGAUGAAGACAGUAAAAUGAGUUUUAAUGGAAAGUCCUUCAGCUAGUACCUCCCAAAGCACCAGCCCCAUGAAGAAGGUGGCCAGCUCAGCAGAUUGGUGAUGGGAAAUAGAAUUCAUUCCUGUUGUUAGCUGUACCACACUUGGCCAAAGGCAGUAAUAACCAUAUGACAGCUCUUUAGUGACUUAUGGAAAAAAAUCCAUUUUAAUCUACUCUCUAGUAAACAAUAGGUCACUGUUUGCUAUUAGCAAACAGUAUAAUACUGACACUGCUGUACUGUCAGUCUCUGUUUCUUUGCCUUAUUUUUUGCUGAGAAGACACUCUCUUAUUUCUCUAGUUGUAUUGUUGUGAGGAGAAUUUCUCAAGAAAUAUGAAAACAAAAUU